rnacentral:rRNA from 1 species
AUUGAACGCUGGCGGCAGGCCUAACACAUGCAAGUCGAACGAGUGGCGGACGGGUGAGUAAUGUCUGGGAAACUGCCCGAUGGAGGGGGAUAACUACUGGAAAGGGUAGCUAAUACCGCAUACCAUCGGAUGUGCCAAGAUGGGAUUCGCUAGAAGGUGGGGUAACGGCUCACCGAGGCGAAGAUCCCUAGCUGGUCGGAGAGGAUGACCAGCCACAUUGGAACUGAGACACGUGCCAGACUCCUACGGGAGGCAGCAGUGGGGAAUAUUGCACAAUGGGCGCAAGCCUGAUGCAGCCAUGCCGCGUGUAUGAAGAAGGCCUUCGGGUUGUAAAGUACUUUCAGCGAGGAGGCGUUACUCGCAGAAGAAGCACCGGCUAACUCCGUGCCAGCAGCCGCGGUAAUAC